CUGGAUCAGAAGGCCGUGACCCGAGUGGUGCAACUCUGUGCUCUCACUGACGACAUGGAAACACCACCUAUUCCACCCGAAGUUGCUGAACUCUUGGAACAAUAUGCGGUGCUUUUUGAGGAACCCAACAGCCUGCCUCCCCAACGCUCGUUCGACCACGCCAUUCCACUGGUGCCUGGAGCUCGACCAGUUAACCUCAGACCAUACAGGCACAACCCAGCGCAGAAGGACGAAGUGGAACGUCAGGUCUCAGAAAUGCUCGCCCAGGGGAUAAUCCAACCCAGCUCCAGCCCGUUCGCAUCUCCGGUUCUUUUGGUGCAGAAAAAGGACCUUACCUGGCGAUUUUGUGUAGACUAUCGGCAUCUCAAUGCAGUCACUGUCAAGAAUCGCUACCCUCUGCCUGUGAUUGAAGAACUUCUUGACGAGCUAGCAGGGUCACGGUUCUUUACCAGCUUGGAUCUAAGAGCAGGUUACCAUCAGAUUCGCAUGCGACCGGAGGAUGAGCAUAAAACAGCGUUUAAAACCCACCACGGGCACUUUGAAUUCAAAGUAAUGCCGUACGGUGUCACAGGGGGUCUGGCAACUUUCCAAGGGGUCGUG
rnacentral:rRNA from 1 species